UGCUAGUUGACGGACUAGUACGGUAGUGACGGAAAGCCCCUCCUCCGGGGCAACGUGCAAUAUUCCCUGUCGUGGGGCAAUCACACCUAGAGAUAGGAGUCGUUGUAAAGGACACUAACGAGUCUAAUAUUGGCGGUUUCGGUAAUUCUGCAAUUAUGUAGGGGGACAGGAAACUUCCGGGUAUACAUUAGCCCCGGCUACCACCAA
rnacentral:ncRNA from 1 species